GUCGAGAAUCUUUCACAAUGGGGGCAACCCUGAUGGAGCGACGCCGCGUGGAGGAUAAGGUCUUCGGAUUGUAAACUCCUGUCAUGCGUGAACAAGGUUGCUUGGUUAAUACCUGGGCAAAUUGAUGGUAACGCAAGAGGAAGAGACGGCUAACUCUGUGCCAGCAGCCGCGGUAAUACAGAGGUCUCAAGCGUUGUUCGGAAUCACUGGGCGUAAAGGGUGCGUAGGUGGCGUGGUAAGUCAGAUGUGAAAGCCCGGGGCUCAACCUCGGAACUGCCUCCGAUACUGCCAUGCUAGAGUACUGGAGAGGUGACUAGAAUUCUCGGUGUAGCAGUGAAAUGCGUAGAUAUCGAGAGGAAUACCAAAGGCGUAGGCAGGUCACUGGACAGUUACUGACACUGAGGCACGAAGGCCAGGGGAGCGAACGGGAUUAGAUACCCUGGUAGUCC
rnacentral:rRNA from 1 species